UUAGCAGUUGGGGAUCUGACCACAAGAUGGCAGAGCACUUUUGUCAAGGAAGACUAUGUGAAUGCUUCCUUUUGGUUGACUCUAACAGCAAAAGCAGAUGCCUGUGUUGAAACGUUAAGAAACCAUUGUGCUUUAGAGAAAAGGAAGAGAUAACCUAGUAAUAGAAGUGGCUCUCCUGGCUGGAGAUCGCAGGUCCCAAUUUGGAGAACAAUGAAGACACCUACAGGACCUUGGUUCCUCUUCUUGUGGCUGCAGCUGGACUAUAAGAGUAGAGGAGAAAAAGUGGAGCAGUAUCCCUCCUUCCAGAGUGUCCAAGAGGGAGACAACUGUGUUAUCAACUGCACUUAUACAGACAGUGCCUCCACUUACUUUUUUUGGUACAAACAAGAACCUGGAAAAGGUCUGCAGUUGCUUAUACAUACUCUUUCAAAUGUGGAUAAGAAAGAAGGACAAGGACUCAUUGUUUUAUUGAAUAAGAAGAACAAGCAUCUCUCCCUGAACAUCACAGCUACCAACCCUGGCGACUCAGCCACCUACUUCUGUGCUACAAGAGCACAGUGGUCCCCAGGCACCUGCAGCCUGUACCCAAACCUGAGCUGAAGCCCCAAUCUUUUUUUUUCUUUGUCACAGAGAUUGUCAGAUAUUUUGCUGUACCACUGCAUUUUAAAUGUAUAGACAUUCUAUACAUCCCUCAAAGAAAGUGAGUUUCAAGAUGGCCCAAAAAGUGUUAGAAUAUUUUGAAUGAUUGCUCAAGGGUAGUUAGUGGUUUCUUAGUUGGAUAUUUGGACUUUAGGAUUGAUUUUAUGAGUACCACUCAGAGUUCUCCCCUUCCAAGGACAUCUCGGUGUCAAUGUCAAAGAUCACUCUUCUUGAUGGAAAGAUACUUAUCUUUUGAGUGUAUCAUUUAUUAACUUUUCCUGAUUUUAAAAUAUUAACUAUGUGAUACAGAAAAAAAAAAGCCCAAAAUACAAAAUAGAAAGUUAAAAUGUGAUCCUAUCAUUCAGAUAAUUCAUGGCUAAUAUUUAGUAUACCUUCUUCAUUAAAAUCUUG